UGUAUUACAGACAAUCUGGGGAUAUAAGGAACUGCGGAAGCCACUGGAAAAAGAAGGAUGGAAGAAAUCAGACUUUCAGGUGAAUCUAAACAAUGCUUCCCGAAGCCAGAGCAGUCAUUCAUAUGAUGAUAGUACUCUCCCUCUCAUUGACCGGAACCAAAAAUCAGAGAAAACCACUUGUAUCUUUUAAAACAUUUUUAUCAUAUAAGAAACCUGAUCGGGAAGAAAUUCAGAUGAGCAAUAUGGGAUCAAACACAAAAUCACUAGAUAACAACUAUUCCACACCAAAUGAGAGAGGAGACCACAAUAGAACACUGGAUCGAUCGGGGGAUCUAGGCGACAUGGAGCCAUUGAA
rnacentral:lncRNA from 1 species